GAAAUGCGAUAAGUAGUGUGAAUUGCAGAAUUCAGUGAAUUAUCGAAUCUUUGAACGCACAUUGCGCCCCUUGGUAUUCCAUGGGGCAUGCCUGUUCGAGCGUCAUUUGUACCCUCAAGCUCUGCUUGGUGUUGGGUGUUUGUCCCCGUCUCCGCGCGUGGACUCGCCCCAAAGUGAUUGGCAGCCGGCGUACUGGUCCCGGAGCGCAGCACAUGUCGCGCAAACGAGUGCCUUGGUACGGCGGCGUCCAUAAGCCCCUCUCUCACGCUCUUGACCUCGGAUCAGGUAGGGAUACCCGCUGAACUUAAGC
rnacentral:misc_RNA from 1 species